rnacentral:rRNA from 1 species
AGCAAUCUAUACGGGCGAAAGCGAUACCGAAAGGAGUCGUGGACUGUAUAGAAGAGAGAAUGCCGGCAUAAGUAGCGAGAGAGAGGCGAGAAACCUCUCCGUCGAGAGUCUGAGGUUUCCCGGGGAAGGUUCGUCCGCCCGGGGUAAGUCGGGACCUAAGUCGAGGUCGAAAGGCGUAGAUGAUGGACAACCGGUAGAAAUUCCGGUACUGCCGAAGAUCGACUAAAUGAAGCGAUGACACAGAAGGAUAGUCAAACCGUGCGGAUGGAAAAGCGCGGCCAAGGCGAGGAACAGGCAUAGAGUGAAGUACCUAUGUAGGAUGUUUUGCGCCGAUGGGGAAGUGAAGAAAAGUAAAUAAGUUGACGAAUCCACGCUGGCGAGAAAAGUCGCUAAAUAAGGUCGGAGGCACCCGUACCGCAAACCGACACAGGUAGACGCGAAGAAAAUUCAUAGACGAACGGGAGAACCCUUGUUAAGGAACUCGGCAAAAUGACCUCGUAACUUCGGGAGAAGGGGAGCCACCGAGAGGUGGUCGCAGUGAAGAGGUCCAAGCAACUGUUUAGCAAAAACACAGGUCUCUGCGAAAUCGAAAGAUGACGUAUAGGGGCUGACGCCUGCCCAGUGCCGGAAGGUUAAGGGGAGAUGUCAGGAGCAAUCCGAAGCGUUGAACUUAAGCCCCGGUGAACGGCGGCCGUAACAAUAACGGUCCUAAGGUAGCGAAAUUCCUUGUCGGGUAAGUUCCGACCCGCACGAAAGGCGUAAUGAUUUGGACGCUGUCUCAACAGGGGGCCCGGCGAAAUUGUAGUAUACGUGAAGAUGCGUAUUAACCCGCGACUGGACGGAGAGACCCCGUAGAGCUUUACUGUAACUUGAUAUUGAUGCACGACAAGGAAUGCACAGGAUAGGUGGGAGACUUGGAGGCAGGGACUUUGGUUUCUGCGGAGUCGGCGUUGGGAUACCACUCUUUCCUUGUUGGGCAUCUAACGGACGGCCGUGAGCCGGCGUACGGACAGUGUCAGGUGGGCAGUUUGACUGGGGCGGUCGCCUCCUAAAAUGUAACGGAGGCGCCCAAAGGUUCCCUCAGGAUGGUUGGAAAUCAUCCUACGAGUGUAAAGGCAGAAGGGAGCUUGACUGCGAGACCGGCAGGUCGAGCAGAUACGAAAGUAGGGCUUAGUGAUCCGGCGGUAGAGAAUGGAAUUGCCGUCGCUUAACGGAUAAAAGUUACCUCGGGGAUAACAGGCUGAUCUCCCCCAAGAGUUCACAUCGACGGGGAGGUUUGGCACCUCGAUGUCGGCUCGUCACAUCCUGGGGCUGAAGCAGGUCCCAGGGGUUCGGCUGUUCGCCGAUUAAAGUGGCACGCGAGCUGGGUUCAGAACGUCGUGAGACAGUUCGGUCCCUAUCCAUCGUGGGCGUAGGAUAUUUGAGAGGCUUUGUCCCUAGUACGAGAGGACCGGGAUGAACGCACCUAUUGUGCACCUGUUGUCGUGCCAACGGCAUAGCAGGGUAGCGAAGUGCGGAUGGGAUAAACGCUGAAAGCAUCUAAGCGUGAAACUCGCCUCAAGAUAAGAUAUCCCAAACGAAAGUUUGUAAGACCCCUGAAAGACGAUCAGGUUGAUAGGUCGGGAGUGUAAGCGCUGUAAGGCGUUAAGCUGACCGAUACUAAUAGGUCGAGGGCUUAUUC